rnacentral:rRNA from 1 species
UACGGAGGGGGUUAGCGUUGUUCGGAAUUACUGGGCGUAAAGCGCGCGUAGGCGGAUUAGAAAGUUGGGGGUGAAAUCCCGGGGCUCAACCCCGGAACUGCCUCCAAAACUGACUUACUUGAGAUUGGUAGAGGAAAAUGGAAUUCCUAGUGUAGAGGUGAAAUUCGUAGAUAUUGGGAAGAACAUCGGUGGCGAAGGCGGCUCACUGGCUCGAUACUGACGCUGAGGUGCGAAAGUGUGGGGAGCAAACAGG